AACGCGAAGAACCUUACCUACUCUUGACAUCCUGCGAAUCUGACUGAGAGGUUGGAGUGCCGAAAGGAGCGCAGAGACAGGUGCUGCAUGGCUGUCGUCAGCUCGUGUCGUGAGAUGUUGGGUUAAGUCCCGUAACGAGCGCAACCCUUAUCCUUAGUUGCCAGCACGUAAAGGUGGGAACUCUAAGGAGACUGCCGGUGAUAAACCGGAGGAAGGUGGGGAUGAGGUCAAGUCAUCAUGGCCUUUAUGAGUAGGGCCACACACGUGCUACAAUGGCCGGUACAGAGGGAAGCCAACCCGCGAGGGGGAGCAAAACUCAGAAAGCCGGUCGUAGUCCGGAUCGGAGUCUGGAAUUCGACUCCGUGAAGUCGGAAUCGCUAGUAAUCGCGGAUCAGAACGCCGCGGUGAAUACGUUCCCGGGCCUUGUACACACCGCUCGUC
rnacentral:rRNA from 1 species